UGACUUUAUUUUCUUCAUUCUUGAUGUUUAAAAUGUCAAAUGAAACUUGUGUCAACAUUAAUGAAGUGUAUCCAACCUUCUCCCACCUCCAAAUCCAUCAAUUCAAGCACAGUUGACCACAGUUGACUUUUCUGAUUGAUAGAUGAAUCUGGCCAUGCAUUGAUCAAGUUGAGCCUCAAACUCCUGAUGAAAUGGCUCAAUGAUGAAACCCUAGCUUCCAUAAGCUCAAUAUAAU
rnacentral:lncRNA from 1 species